GCUGACGAGUGGCGGACGGGUGAGUAAUGUCUGGGAAACUGCCUGAUGGAGGGGGAUAACUACUGGAAACGGUGGCUAAUACCGCAUAACGUCGCAAGACCAAAGAGGGGGACCUUCGGGCCUCUUGCCAUCAGAUGUGCCCAGAUGGGAUUAGCUUGUUGGUGAGGUAACGGCUCACCAAGGCGACGAUCCCUAGCUGGUCUGAGAGGAUGACCAGCCACACUGGAACUGAGACACGGUCCAGACUCCUACGGGAGGCAGCAGUGGGGAAUAUUGCACAAUGGGCGCAAGCCUGAUGCAGCCAUGCCGCGUGUAUGAAGAAGGCCUUCGGGUUGUAAAGUACUUUCAGCGGGGAGGAAGGUGUUGUGGUUAAUAACCACAGCAAUUGACGUUACCCGCAGAAGAAGCACCGGCUAACUCCGUGCCAGCAGCCGCGGUAAUACGGAGGGUGCAAGCGUUAAUCGGAAUUACUGGGCGUAAAGCGCACGCAGGCGGUCUGUCAAGUCGGAUGUGAAAUCCCCGGGCUCAACCUGGGAACUGCAUUCGAAACUGGCAGGCUUGAGUCUUGUAGAGGGGGGUAGAAUUCCAGGUGUAGCGGUGAAAUGCGUAGAGAUCUGGAGGAAUACCGGUGGCGAAGGCGGCCCCCUGGACAAAGACUGACGCUCAGGUGCGAAAGCGUGGGGAGCAAACAGGAUUAGAUACCCUGGUAGUCCACGCCGUAAACGAUGUCUACUUGGAGGUUGUGCCCUUGAGGCGUGGCUUCCGGAGCUAACGCGUUAAGUAGACCGCCUGGGGAGUACGGCCGCAAGGUUAAAACUCAAAUGAAUUGACGGGGGCCCGCACAAGCGGUGGAGCAUGUGGUUUAAUUCGAUGCAACGCGAAGAACCUUACCUGGUCUUGACAUCCACAGAACUUUCCAGAGAUGGAUUGGUGCCUUCGGGAACUGUGAGACAGGUGCUGCAUGGCUGUCGUCAGCUCGUGUUGUGAAAUGUUGGGUUAAGUCCCGCAACGAGCGCAACCCUUAUCCUUUGUUGCCAGCGGUCCGGCCGGGAACUCAAAGGAGACUGCCAGUGAUAAACUGGAGGAAGGUGGGGAUGACGUCAAGUCAUCAUGGCCCUUACGACCAGGGCUACACACGUGCUACAAUGGCGCAUACAAAGAGAAGCGACCUCGCGAGAGCAAGCGGACCUCAUAAAGUGCGUCGUAGUCCGGAUUGGAGUCUGCAACUCGACUCCAUGAAGUCGGAAUCGCUAGUAAUCGUGGAUCAGAAUGCCACGGUGAAUACGUUCCCGGGCCUUGUACACACCGCCCGUCACACCAUGGGAGUGGGUUGCAAAAGAAGUAGGUAGCUUAACCUUCGGGAGGGCGCUUACCACUUUGUGAUUCAUGACUGGGGUGAAGUCGUAACAAGGUAACCGUAGGGGAACCUGCGGUUGGAUCACCUCCUUACCUUAAAGAAGC
rnacentral:rRNA from 1 species